GGAUGUGAGGACGAUCUGGCUACGAUAUGUGUCACCUCAUUGACCGCCAGGGUUGAUUUGGCUGCUCUGGCUGGCUAGGCAGGUGUCCCUGUCCUUCCUCACCACUCCAUGCACGUCCCCCUGAAGCUGAGUGCUAGGUCUGAGAGGAUGACCAUCCCAGACAGAGCUGGACUGGUCUUCAGUCAAGGGUGUACAAACAGCUGCACUCCCCUGCUAGAACCUCCAAACAAACUAUCAAGAUUAUUGAACUGGUUCAAGUACUGUUGUCCUGGCCCAUCCAUUACAUGGUU
rnacentral:snRNA from 10 species